AUGCAGUCACACAUACAUGCACUCAUAGACCAUCCACUCCAGAUGCAUCCAAUCACACACACACGCACUCAUAGACACAUGCAGUCACACACACAUGCAAUCACACAUUCAAUCUCACACACAUGCAAUUUCACACACACAUGCAAUCACAUACAUGCAAUCUCACACACACAUGAACUCACAGACACAUGCAGUCACACACACAUGCAAUCACACACACACACUCACAGACACAUGCAAUCACACACACGCAAUCACACACACACGCAAUCACACACAUGCACUCACAGACAUGCAGUCACACACACACAAUCACACACACACAAGCACACACACACAAUCACACACACACAUAUACUCAGACACAUGCAAUCACACACACACAUGCACUCACAGAUGCAUGCAAUCACACACAUGUGCUCACAGACGCAUGCGGUCAUAGACACAUGCGCUCACAGGUGCAUGCAAUCACACACACACUCACAGACACAUGCAAUCACACACACAUGCAAUCACACACACAUGCUCAGAGACACAUGCAAUCAUAGACACACGUGCACUCACAGACACAUGCAAUCACACACAUGCGCUCACAUAUACAUGCAAUCACACACACAUGCAUUCACAGAUACAUGCAAUCACACACACAUGCGUUCACAGACAAAAUCACACACACGUGCUCACAGACACAUUCAAUCACACACACACAUGCACUCACGGACUCAUGCAAUCACACACACACACACAUGCACUCACAGAUGCAUGCAAUCACACACACACAUGCACAUGUGGAGAUAUGUCAAACACACACACACACACGUGCAGUCACAAGACACACACACAUACGUAAAGCAUACCCAUGGGAUCAGGAUCCCUCCAGGUCUCCCGGCCAGGAUCUUGACCAGAGAGAGUGAACCAGAGAGAGUGUCUUGGCACCAAACAAGAGAAAGGAGACCUGGAGGCCUGGGGAGGCUGGGGUCUCUGGGAAGAGGACGGAGCAGUAUGCGGAGGCCCUCGCUGUACUGUGGGAUGGGUGGGCAGUGUGGUCUGAGAAGACCCACCAGGCUCAGCAGAGGCAUGAUAAGUGACCAACCGUCCUGGUUUAUCUGGGGCAGUGGGGGUUCCCAGUACAUGGGACUUUCCAUUGGAAAACAGGGGACAUCCCUCGCAAACCAGGCCACCCCAGGGAGAAAAUCCCAGCAGUGGAGAGAGGGGUCUGGUUCAUUCUCGAGACCUAAAAGUGAAUCAUACUGA
rnacentral:lncRNA from 1 species